rnacentral:lncRNA from 1 species
UGAUGAGGGAAAGUUGUCUUGAAAAGUCUUUUUAGUACAAUCUAGAAGAUGUUAACAAAAAAAAAAUAUGAAAGAGAACAGAAUAAAAACUGGCAGACAUUGGCAAAUACAACUCUCGUAGCUGUACCACGCCAGAGAAUCACCAGCACUUUUCAGCUCCUGAAAAAAUGUCAGGGCAACAACAGAAUGUUGGCAUUAGCUUGGGAAAUAAAAAUUCCAAUGUGAGAGAAGCACAAGAUAUCCAUUUACAGCGGAGAAAUAAACUUUCUAACUCAAGUACUGGCUAGAUAUGUUGAAAAAAAAAAAAAAGAAAGCAAGCUUUCGUUGUAGCUAACAAAAUAACCGGCUCAGAACCAGGGAAGUUAGUGAAUUCGUCUGGCAUGGACUCCAAUGAUGAUAACAACUCUAGGGUUGUAUUUGUGAGAUUUGCAAAUUCUUCUUCUGGAAGCUGACAUUCCAGGACAAGGAGAAUCAUUCCAAAUAGAAAAGCAAUGUUUGCUACUCUUCAAGACACACUUGGAUUUAAUUUUGCAUCUUCUAGUUCAGGGGAAAAUUAAUUUACUGAUGUCUUACCUAGAACUGUAUCUGUAUGCUUCAGGUUGAAAAGUUUGAACAAUCUAUGUAAUUGUGCUACAUCGAAUGCCUUUGACACCAAUCAUUUGGUAGGGAACUCUUUUGAAUUGAAAGAAUUAGAUUUUGAGACCUGCUAGUAAACAUAAUAUGCCUGAAACUGAGGAACAGAAUAUCUGUCAGUGGAACAAGAAGCAAAACUUAUGACCAAAGCUGAUGCACCCAGAGAUGUUUACUAAAACAGAUGAUUCAGUCUAAAUCUGAAAAAAUAACAUUAAACAUAGGAAUAAAAAGAGAACAGAAAAGCUAACAGAGCGAGAAAAUUGAAGGCUAUAUCAAGGUAUAAAGGAAGCACAAUUAAAAAUUUCUUAAAAAACGAUUUGUGAAAAAUUGCAUAAUUCUUUUAGUUUUAGCAAUGCUUACAAUUUCAAUUUGACAGUGGAUAUUAAUAUUCCUCCUUUCUGAACAAAUACAAUGGGCAAAGAUUCUAUAAAGGAGAGGAAAUGAACAAUGAGUCUGAAAUAAGCAUCCAGGAAUCAAGUGGGCAAAGGACACCCAUGAAAGAGAGAUGGAAGGUGCCCAGACAACACAAACUCCUAUAGCACACCCCUUGAAACUCACCAGUCACCUCCUCAUAUCCUAGAGGACAUCACUAAUGCCAACCUUUCUACUGUAGUGAAAAAUCAGAACACUUUUAUUCUCCAAAACUGAAUAACAAACUGAAUAAAGAAAUCUCAGCAGUGUCUCUCCCUAAGAACAGGUGUAUAACCAGUGUGAACUAUAAGGAAAACGCACUAGCAUGGCGACAGAGAAUAAGACACCUUUUCUAUAGAUUUGUUUCCUGAAUUCUGUUUUCAAGCAGAAAAAGACUCUAGACACCAUUCUUAAAAAAUGUAUUAAACAAAUACAAUGAAGCUUUUGUUGGAUGCCACUGAAAUUCAUCCUACACUCCUCUCAAUUUUUCAAAGAGAGAUUCUGUUCAAGUCUAAAAGUGGGUCAUACUAAUGCCAUAGACUAUU